rnacentral:rRNA from 1 species
UACGUAGGGUGCAAGCGUUGUCCGGAAUUAUUAGGCGUAAAGAGCUCGUAGGCGGUUUGUCGCGUCUGCUGUGAAAACUCGGGGCUUAACUCCGGGCCUGCAGUGGGUACGGGCAGACUAGAGUGCGGUAGGGGAGACUGGAAUUCCUGGUGUAGCGGUGAAAUGCGCAGAUAUCAGGAGGAACACCGGUGGCGAAGGCGGGUCUCUGGGCCGUAACUGACGCUGAGGAGCGAAAGCCAGGGGAGCAAACGGG